rnacentral:rRNA from 1 species
GUGAGUAACACGUGGGUAACUUGCCCCGAAGCGGGGGAUAACAUUUGGAAACAGGUGCUAAUACCGCAUAACAACAAAAACCACAUGGUUUUUGUUUAAAAGAUGGUUUCGGCUAUCACUUUGGGAUGGACCCGCGGCGUAUUAGCUAGUUGGUAAGGUAAUGGCUUACCAAGGCAAUGAUACGUAGCCGAACUGAGAGGUUGAUCGGCCACAUUGGGACUGAGACACGGCCCAAACUCCUACGGGAGGCAGCAGUAGGGAAUCUUCCACAAUGGACGAAAGUCUGAUGGAGCAACGCCGCGUGAGUGAAGAAGGUUUUCGGAUCGUAAAACUCUGUUGUCAGAGAAGAACGUGUGCGAGAGUAACUGCUCGUGCAGUGACGGUAUCUGGCCAGAAAGCCACGGCUAACUACGUGCCAGCAGCCGCGGUAAUACGUAGGUGGCAAGCGUUGUCCGGAUUUAUUGGGCGUAAAGGGAACGCAGGCGGUCUUUUAAGUCUGAUGUGAAAGCCUUCGGCUUAACCGAAGUCGUGCAUUGGAAACUGGGAGACUUGAGUGCAGAAGAGGAGAGUGGAACUCCAUGUGUAGCGGUGAAAUGCGUAGAUAUAUGGAAGAACACCAGUGGCGAAAGCGGCUCUCUGGUCUGUAACUGACGCUGAGGUUCGAAAGCGUGGGUAGCAAACAGGAUUAGAUACCCUGGUAGUCCACGCUGUAAACGAUGAAUGCUAAGUGUUGGGAGGGUUUCCGCCCUUCAGUGCCGCAGCAAACGCAUUAAGCAUUCCGCC